CUUGUCGGGUAAGUUCCGACCUGCACCGAAUGGCGUAACGACUUCCCCGCUGUCUCCAACGCAGACUCAGCGAAAUUGAAUUCCCCGUGAAGAUGCGGGUUCCCGCGGUCAGACGGAAAGACCCCGUGCACCUUUACUACAGCUUCACACUGGCAUCAGGCCAGGCAUGUGCAGGAUAGGUGGCAGGCUUUGAAACAGGGACGCCAGUUCCUGCGGAGCCGUCCUUGAGAUAUCACCCUUGCCUUGCCUGAUGUCUAACCGCGGACCGUCAUCCGGUUCCGGGACCCUGUGUGGCGGGUAGUUUGACUGGGGCGGUCGCCUCCCAAAAAGUAACGGAGGCGCGCGAUGGUGGGCUCAGGUUGGUCGGAAAUCAACCGUCGAGUG
rnacentral:rRNA from 1 species